CGUAGGGUGCGAGCGUUAAUCGGAAUUACUGGGCGUAAAGUGUGCGCAGGCGGCUCCGCAAGUCGAGUGUGAAAUCCCCGAGCUUAACUUGGGAAUUGCGCUCGAAACUACGGAACUGGAGUGUGGCAGAGGAAGGUGGAAUUCCACGUGUAGCGGUGAAAUGCGUAGAGAUGUGGAGGAACACCGAUGGCGAAGGCAGCCUUCUGGGCCAACACUGACGCUCAUGCACGAAAGCGUGGGGAGCAAACAGGAUUAGAUACCCUGGUAGUCCACGCCCUAAACGGUGAUGACUAGUUGUUGGAGGAGUUAAAUCCUUUAGUAACGCAGCUAACGCGUGAAGUCAUCCGCCUGGGGAGUACGGUCGCAAGAUUA
rnacentral:rRNA from 1 species